UACGUAGGGGGCAAGCGUUGUCCGGAUUUAUUGGGCGUAAAGAGCGUGUAGGCGGCCACACAGGUCAGCUGUGAAAACUCGAGGCUCAACCUCGAGACGUCGGUUGAAACCGUAUGGCUAGAGUCCGGAAGAGGAGAGUGGAAUUCCCGGUGUAGCGGUGAAAUGCGCAGAUAUCAGGAGGAACACCAAUAGCGAAGGCAGCUCGCUGGAACGGUACUGACGCUGAGGCGCGAAAGCGUGGGGAGCGAACAGG
rnacentral:rRNA from 1 species